GGGAAUGUAGCUUAGUGGUAGAGUGCUGGCCUUGCAUGCAUGAAGCCCUGGGUUCGAUUCCUCAGUACCA
rnacentral:tRNA from 1 species